rnacentral:rRNA from 1 species
UACGAACCGUGCAACCGUUGUUCGGAAUCACUGGGCUUAAAGGGCGCGUAGGCGGCUUGUCAAGUCAGGGGUGAAAUCUUUCGGCUUAACCGGAAAAGUGCCUUUGAUACUGACAGGCUCGAGGGAGGUAGGGGUAUGUGGAACUUCUGGUGGAGCGGUGAAAUGCGUUGAUAUCAGAAGGAACGCCGGUGGCGAAAGCGACGUACUGGACCUCUUCUGACGCUGAGGCGCGAAAGCUAGGGGAGCAAACGGG